UACGAAGGGGGCUAGCGUUGCUCGGAAUCACUGGGCGUAAAGGGUGCGUAGGCGGGUCUUUAAGUCAGAGGUGAAAUCCUGGAGCUCAACUCCAGAACUGCCUUUGAUACUGAGGGUCUUGAGUAUGACAGAGGUGAGUGGAACUGCGAGUGUAGAGGUGAAAUUCGUAGAUAUUCGCAAGAACACCAGUGGCGAAGGCGGCCACCUGGACGGUAACUGACGCUGAGACGCGAAAGCGUGGGGAGCAAACAGG
rnacentral:rRNA from 1 species